rnacentral:tRNA from 1 species
ACUUUCGGCCGGAAAUGCUAGACUCUGCCCUACCCCCGAAGACUGCCCUCCGAAGGCAGAGGUCACAGAUUCGAAUUCUGUCGGGUGCGCCA